rnacentral:rRNA from 1 species
GUGUCAGCAGCCGCGGUAAGACGAACCGUGCGAACGUUAUUCGGAAUCACUGGGCUUAAAGGGCGCGUAGGCGGGCGGACAAGUCAGGGGUGAAAUCGUUCGGCCCAACCGGACAAGGGCCCCUGAUACUGGCCGUCUCGAGGGAGGUAGGGGUCGAUGGAACUUCCGGUGGAGCGGUGAAAUGCGUAGAUAUCGGAAGGAGCGCCGGUGGCGAAAGCGAUCGACUGGACCUCUUCUGACGCUGAGGCGCGAAAGCCAGGGGAGCAAACGGGAUUAGAUACCCCGGUAGUCCUGGCCCUAAACGAUGGGCACCAGAUUGUGGACUUGACAUGGGUUCACAGUCGAGGCAAAAGUGUUAAGUGCCCCGCCUGGGGAGUAUGGUCGCAAGGCUGAA